rnacentral:tRNA from 1 species
GGUGGCAUAGCCAAGUGGCAAGGCGUAGGUCUGCAAAACCUAUAUCCUCGGUUCGAAUCCGAGUGUCACCU